AUUCUACUCCCUCCGUUGCACAAUACAUGCCUUCUAUUUGUCAAAAUAUAUAUGUAUCUAGACAUGUUUUAGUAUAUAGGUACAUCCAUUUUUCGACAAAUGGAAGUCAAGUAUUUUGGAACGGAGGGAGUACACA
rfam:Triticum aestivum genome assembly, contig: Triticum_aestivum_CS42_TGACv1_scaffold_223675_3B